GUGUGGAGCGCGCACCCUUCUCAUCGUGGUGCUCGGGCUUUACGCCCCAAGAGGAGAAGAGGAGAAGUGCCUCUAGGACGAGCCGGUUGGAAGGGCUCAGCGUCCCCGGUCAAGUGUCUGCCGGUCGUGGCGGGUGCGCGCGGGAGAGAGCCGCCUGCCCCGUUCGUGUGCAUCCCUGGGCGGAGGGAAGUGGCCCGAGUGAGACGCCGGGAAUUUUGAGCAAGAGGUACCUCUACAAGGAUGGAAUUCGUAUACGAGAUAAGCAGACAUUCAAAGGACUCAUCCUUGGAACAGCUCUCUCCCAGUGUUUACUCAACUGCUUAGAGACACAAGUGUAGAAGUUGAAAAGAACGUGAACAUUUCAUGUCAGGCUCGGGGAGAACCAUAGCCCAUAAUUACAUGGAAUAAGGCUCUGCAGAAACGGCGGAGCCUGCAAGACAAGGAGCGUUUACAUGUUGAACGAGGCAGAAUGGUACAGUCGCUGAGUGAGUUCCAUCUCUGGGACGGGGCUGUGUGGAACCCUGAGGAGGAAAACAGCAAUGAUGGACACCAGCCGGAACAACCUCCCUCCCAGACUCGGGCUCUCCUCCUGAGCCAGGCUCACUGCUUCCCGAACUUUCUUCCCUGAGGAUGAGUUCUCUUCCCUGAUGGCCUCAGCUCCUUUGAAAGGACUUUACAGUGUUAACUCACAUGUUUGAAAGAAGCCCUUUUAAAUCAGUGAUAUAGGCUCCAAAUCUAUCACCUCCCAAAUUCAGUAAUGAAAAUUAACUUAUUGGAGAUGCAAUUAUCCCUGCACUUUGUGUUUGGAAAACAAAUUGGUGGAAUCUACCUGGUUGACUGAAGACUAUGCACCCUGACUACUACUGAAUCAUGCUGUUUUGUCCCAAACAAUUUUACAGAGAGAAAGUCCAUUCAUGUAUAUUAUUCACCUACCAAAGCUUCUGUGUUCAUUGUAUGCAAACCCGAGUGUCCACGGACCACAGAGAGCAGCGUGUGCAAUGUAGAACGAGACACAGUGUGUGUAUUAGAUAGCAGCUUCUUACAUUGACUGUGACAGUGACCUUAAAUACUAGUGCGGCACUGUGCGUUCACCAUCUGGCAUGCUGGAGUUUACAAAAACAGCCCAGAACAAGAUUUUAAUAGAGGUGGGUGUCCUCGUUGUCUUUCAGAUGCUGUUGCUUAUCAGUCGUCAGAGACUAUUUGUCAGU